GAAAUGCGAUACGCAAUGCGAAUUGCAGAAUUCCGCGAGUCAUCAGAUUUUUGAACGCAAACUGCGCCAUAGGGAUAUCCCUGCGGCAUGUUUGUUUCAGUGUGUUUGUUGACAUCAUAAAACUAAAUGCGAUUGAAAUAUUUAAGUAUGUUUCUCUCGUUAAAUAUGUUAUAUGUAUUUUAUUAGUCAAUAAAAUAAAAUUCCAACAUAGCGGUCGCUUUUCAUUAAGUGAUUAUGUUUGGUAAUUUUUAGACUGAUAAUCAUUUAUUGCAUAUAUAUUUUAUAAAAACAAUCUUCAAUCAGCACCUGAAAUCAAGCAAGACAACCCGCUGAACUUAA
rnacentral:misc_RNA from 1 species